AAUAUUUUUUUGCAAAAUUUAUAAAUUACUAGGGGGGUGUCCGCGCUGCGCGCAUAAUAUUGUUUUAUUAUUGCUAAGAACAUGAUUUUUUGGAUAAUGUAAUUAUGUUGUCGUUUUUAUUUUUUAAGAGCAUUAUUUGGUGUUUUUAAUGUGUUAUGUAGUAGUAGGUGAUAAGUUAAUAUAUUUUAUGUUUGUUUUUUUGAAUAAUGUGUUAUUGUGUGUAAAGUACUUGUUAAUAGUGAAGUGAACCUUUAACGUAAAAGAAUAUUGAAUUUCAAUAACUUUGCAUCUACGCAUUUGUUGAUUAAUUCUAAGAUUAACGGAUUUAACGUCAAAAUUGUAUUAUAUUUUUCACAUUUUUGAAAAUUAAAACUUUUAAGAUAUUUUUUGUCCUCUUCCCAUAUUUUGACUUGAGUCGUCACCGUCUAUGUAGUUCAUUAUCUUUCUGGUGUGCGGUGCUUCUCACCAUCACCGGAAAAAGACUCACUUCUUUCUCUUGUUUUUCUUUGGAUUCUUCACCUGUGAGAUUAUAUGGUAUUUGUUGUAGAUCAGAUUUCUGAGUUUUCAGUUAUUCGGUUGAUUGUCACGGUAUUGUAGGCUGUUCCAGUCAAUAUUGAUUGCUCAUCUUUUUCUUUAGAUUUCAGCUGAUGUUAGGAAUUGUAUCUCCUUGGUUGGGUCAGAGUUUAGUCGUCUUUGAUGUUUUAUCUCGUCGUUGGCUUACCGUCAAUAGUCUUUGCUCGUCCUGGUUUUCAAGAUCUAGUUUUUGGUGUUCUGACUUCUAUGCUCUCUUUCAUAGCUCGAGGGCGGCUCCAUAGUUUGCUGAUUUCGUUUCGUCUCUCUUUCCCUCUCUAUUCUCGCAUCUCUUUGCAGCUUUCAUCGCAUCUCUGGUGGCUCUCCCUUUCACCAUGUUUGCCACUCGAAGUUUAGAUAAUGUUUUCGUUCGUGUAUGCUAUGUUGGCUUGGAAGGUAAUUUUUGGUGUCAAGUUUAGUUUCUGAUUUUUUGGUGGUUGUCUUCCAUUCUCCCUUCCUCAAGUUGUUUCUUUUCUUUCCAUGUUUCCUUUGGUAUAGGUGUGCGGAGUUAGUCUCUUGGAGCUUUGGUCUUUUCUAUCCAGAGCUUUGUGUUUUUUCAUUUGCAUGGUCGUCUUGUAUGUUCGUGUUUAGUUUAUGAGAUGUUUCUUACCUUUUAGCUACUGGUUGUGAUUCCGGUGCUUUAAGCAUAUAUCUUCAUGCUUCUUGGUGGCUUUGGCCUUUCGAUUAUUAUUCUCCAUCUGACUCGUUUUCUUGGUUAUUUGUGUUGGUGCUCUAAUAUCUUAUUUAGUUUGAUUAUCUUAUGAUAUUAAUAGUGAAAUAAAUAUAUAAUUUGUAAAUAAAAUAAGAAAAAUUAGUAAAAAAAUAAUAAAAUGGUGAAAGUUUAUGUAUUUUUAGUUAUUAAUAAAUUUAAAAUUUUAACUAUAUUUAUAUUAUUUUAUUUAUUUCGGACCAAUAAGUGCGAGAAGGAUUAGAUAGUACACAAUUAGAAAUUUAUAGAGUAAAUUGUAAUAAUUUAAAAGAAGAAGGAUUUAAAAUAAAAAAAAAAAAGAAAACAUGAAGACACAUGAAAGUCAUCCGCAGCAUCCCUUGUUUCUUACCUCAUCCGAACCCAUUGACUGUGGUGCUUGUAAUGAGAUUGCAUCACCUGUAUUGAACUGCGUUGACUGUGGCUUUUCUUUGGGAUAUGACUGCGCUACUUUGCCUAACAAGGUCAAGCACAAAUGCGACACACAUUUUCUCUCUGUCUGCUAUGGAGAAGAGACGAGUGGGGAAUACUGGUGCGAGGCAUGCGAGAGAAAAGUCAACCCGAGUACAAGAUUCUACACAUGUGAAGAUUGCAGCUCCACUCUUCACAUCACAUGCGUGAUUGGGGAAUUCACAUUCUGGAGACCAGGGAAGAUGGCCAUAUCACGUCACGAAGUCGCAAUAAUUCCCAAUGAUUUUGCAUCUCGGCCAUAUUGUUAUAUGUGCAGGUCCCGUUGCGAAGACACUUCAGGUAUUAUAUAUAUCUCAGAGAAGCACAUAUGUUCCUCUAAAUGUUUAGAAGUGUAUAUCAAGUUCGACCUUACAUUCUCCAAGUUGGAGACAGUGGAGAUGGCGCUUCAUAACUUGGAAUUAUUUCGACUUGACCAUACCAGCCAUGGCUGGAGCAUUCUGUAAAAGAUCCUUUUCAAUCAUUGUAUGUUCUUCUGAAUGAACUUUUGUUGAAGAAAUUAAAUAUUAAUAGAUGAAAUUGGAUAGAAAAAAAUUCCCAUAGUCCUAACUUUUUUAAUCACAAAUAUAGCAGAAUCAAAACAAUCCAAAUAGGUUUAAUCAAAAUGGAUUUUUAACUUUAAAACAUCUUUGCUAAGUUUGUUUUGAGCAAAAAACCUCAAACUAAGUAUUUAACGAAAAAAAUUCACAAACUAACUUUAUUUUUGUGAAUUAAAUCAUAGCAGGUCAUAAUUAUCAUUACUACCGGUAAAUCUUUAGUUUAUGGAUUUCUACAUUAAGUAAACAUAAUUGAGUGGUUUUACCAUUAAAUAAACAGAGUUGAAAAUAUGAUAAAAAUUAUCUAAAGAUUUAUUAUUACAUUUUUAUUAUUUUUUCUUGUUUUUUACAUUUUUAAUCUUUUAGUAUACAUGUAAAUCUUUAGAUAAUUUUUAUUAUAUUUUUUGGGUUUUUAUAUUUUACAGGGAAUUUGCAGCAGAUGUCAAUGAUAACAAAUUUUAUUAGCUAAACGGACAUGGCACUGUGUGUAUUUUCAUAAUACCAACAUUACCCCUAUUUUGUCUGCAAAAUAGCUAUACAUGACUGACAUAGACCUUUAUUUUUCCAGUCAAGCACGCGCUUGAAUUAAUGAUGAAAUUCUUUGAAUCCUCAACUCGUGUUACUUUCUCACUUAUGCAAAAACCAAGAGUUCUAAAUAUCAUAUCUCUUACAUACCAAUCGACGAGAUAGCCAUCAAUUUCAUUCUCAAUACACUUGUAGAAGACAAGAUCCAUUAUCUACGAGGACUUCCUUAUAUAUAUUGACGUCACAGUUUACACAAACAGACACACGUCUCUCUCUCUCAAAACUUAAAUUCUUCAUCCCGAGCUUUGAUUCAUCGUCUCCAUCUGAGCGUCAUCAACGUUGCUAAUCUAUUCGCCAGCAAAGACACUACUAAAAUUGCUGAAACGAACCAACCACUACCCGCCAAGGUUUGCAACAAUAUACAUUGUAAGCCAUUGACCAAAGACCUCCUCCCAAUUUCGCAAAUGUCCCCGUUCUUACUGAAAUACUCUGGUCGCAUUGAAGCGGUUGAUGGAAGAAUCAAAGGCGUUGCACAUAAUGCCAAAUUAGUUUAUUCUGGUCUUAUGGUAGCUCUCCUAAUACAAACGCUUGCCAUGUUUGGACCGGAGACGUGCACCUGCAUCACCCCAUUUGGUAUACAUGAAGAAGCACAAAUGGCUGUUGUCAUGAUGUACGAGUACCACCGAAAACUUUAGAAUGUUAUCUCACAAUUCAAUGUUAUUUUCUUAAAACCUUUGCUAUCUGCUUUUCCAUUUUAUAGCCAGUUUCAACUUUUCUCUAUGAAACUUUGUUGAAACAUCAUGCAAUUCUUCUAGGACUCUUAUUUUUUUUACAUGGGCUCUCACAUCUUCUACCAUAAUACCUUUCCUCAAA